AGAUGGCGAACCUGACGGACAAUACGCGUGAGGGAGGAAGGCUCUUGGGUUGUAAACCUCUUUUCUCAGGGAAGAACACAAUGACGGUACCUGUAGGAAUAAGCAUCGGCUAACUCCGUGCCAGCAGCCGCGGUAAUACGGAGGAUGCAAGCGUUAUCCGGAAUGAUUGGGCGUAAAGCGUCCGCAGGUGGCUUUGCAAGUCUGCUGUCAAAGCUCAGGGCUUAACCCUGAAUCGGCGGUGGAAACUGAAAGGCUAGAGUGCGGUAGGGGCAGAGGGAAUUCCCAGUGUAGCGGUGAAAUGCGUAGAGAUUGGGAAGAACACCAGUGGCGAAAGCGCUCUGCUAGACCGCAACUGGACACUCAUGGACGAAAGCUAGGGGAGCGAAUGGGAUUAGAUACCCCAGUAGUCCUAGCCGUAAACGAUGGAUACUAGGCGUUGAGAGUAUCGACCCUCUCAGUGUCGUAGCUAACGCGUUAAGUAUCCCGCCUGGGGAGUACGCACGCCAAGUGUGAAACUCAAAGGAAUUGACGGGACUCCCCCUUUCUUCCCCUUCACUUUC
rnacentral:rRNA from 1 species